rnacentral:rRNA from 1 species
CCUACGGGAGGCAGCAGUGAGGAAUAUUGGUCAAUGGGCUUACGCCUGAACCAGCCAAGUCGCGUGAGGGAAGACUGCCCUAUGGGUUGUAAACCUCUUUUGUCAGGGAGAAACGCCGGCUACGUGUAGCCGGACUGAGAGUACCUGAAGAAAAAGCAUCGGCUAACUCCGUGCCAGCAGCCGCGGUAAUACGGAGGAUGCGAGCGUUAUCCGGAUUUAUGGGGUGUAAAGGGUGCGUAGGCGGAAUGCCAAGUCAGCGGUAAAAUCGCGGGGCUCAACCUCGCUCCGCCUUUGAAACUGGCGUUCUUGAGUGGGCGAGAAGUAUGCGGAAUGCGUGGUGUAGCGGUGAAAUGCAUAGAUAUCACGCAGAACUCCGAUUGCGAAGGCAGCAUACCGGCGCCCAACUGACGCUGAAGCACGAAAGCGUGGGUAUCUAACAGGAUUAGAUACCCCAGUAGUC